CCCUUAUCCUUGCAUGUUUGAGUAGUUUAGUAGUUUUUUGUUUUGUUUUGUUUUGAAGUAUGCUAUUUUCAAGUGUUGGCUAUGCUUUCAGAAUUUCCAUUGAAUUACAAAGUACUAUCCUUACACAUUUCAGUUUUAUCAAUUGGGCCUUUAAAACUCACACAAAAAUUGGCUAUUGAUUCUUGUUCAAUGGGAUGAGAAAGCUUGUCAAUCAUCGUGUGUUUUACAUUAAUUACUUUUGAAUGGUGCAUUUGUGCUUCUGAUUUUUGUGAAGCAUCACUUCAGUUUACCUCAGAACUCAAUUCCAUCCUUCAUGCAUUUUAAUUGAUUUGAUCUUCAAGCUGCAGAGUGCCUAGAAAUGGGUCAUCAUCUGCAGCCCUGGCAUAGACACACGGACAUUUGCCACCACUGCAAGCAGAUAUCUGGAGAAGCAGAUCCACAGCAGUCAGGGAGAACAUGCUGGUGUGACUUCACAGCUCACAUACAACUUCCCUGACACAUACUGGACUGCUUUUUGAAGCUUGCCAAUGACUUUCGGCAGUGUGUACUAUGCUCUUGUUCCUAUACUAGCUAUAAAUGUUAGGUGUUAAGGAUAAGUAAUCUUCAAUUUACUCUAUAAUGCUGAAAUUUUAAGUUUCCUUUUCUUUUUUUAGGUUUGUUAAGUUUCCUUUUAUUUUGCUUCUGUUGAUCAAAUUUACAUUGUUUCUUUUUUUUUUUCUUUUAUUUGGCAUUUCCAACAAAAAUGCCUUUAUUCAUUUAUCAAGAAAGUUGGAAAAUGAGAAUACAAACUGACAAAAUUAACUUAAUUGGCUACAGGCCCAAAUUUUUAUUUUUCAUUAAUUAAUUAUGAAGGGGAUGUGAGAGUUCCUAUUGCUGGUCAUGAAGGUCAUCAUGAAGGGUCAGUUUAGUUUGAACCUAGAGGCAUUUGGCUGAGAUGCUAAUUUGAGAUGAGCAUCUGUAUGGUGCAGUCUAGAAUUGUGUUUAAGUUUGCAGGUACCUCUUGGACUCCUGAACUGAUCUGGCUGUCACACAUCAUCGACGUCCCACAUCCCACACAGUUAUGAGAUUGGCAACAGAGAGCACCUUGUUGGAGAUGCCAGAGCUGUUUUGAAGGACCACCUGCGGAAGAGAAGUGUCUGCAGGAACAAUGCUACAUAUUCAGCUGGAGAGGGAACACGCAUCUGAUGGGAAUGAAGCUUUUGGUUGUUUCAGAUUGUAGAAUGUUUUUUAGUUGGUUUUGGACAUUGCAUUGUUUUUCCUUUUUUUCUAUAGUCAAUUUAAGUAAUAGGGGAUAGAUAAUCAUUAAGAAUUUUAGUCUGGGAGGGACUAUUAAGUAAUUUAGGUGGGUGGGUAAGUUAGGGGAUAAGUUAGGAUAAGAUAGGAUAAAUUAGGAUAAGAUAAGAUUAGGAUAAGAUAAGAUAGGAUAAGAUACAACAAUAAGUGGACACGCGUACUUAUUUGUCCCUCUUACCCCUCCCUACAACCUUACCUUUAAAAUUCUACUCAGAGGGAACUGCAGGGAAAUCAAUCAACAUUUUAUGAGUGAAUUGGACAUGGACAAAAUUCUAGAGAAAUUUCAAAGAUGAUUAGAUUAAUAAGCCCCUAGGAAUUAACUCCAGAGUAAAACCUUGAGAGAGUGACCAGGUAAUAGGCAUCAUUUGAGAAACUAUUGCUGGAAUAAAGUUUGUAAUGCUGAAUGAUAUUCAUGGAAAUUGUAAAAAAGUGAUGAAUAAAAACCCUUACUAUUUUCUUGUCAGUAACCCUCCUCCCCUCCCAUCCCCACCCCCCUCCCCUCCCUAACCCAUCCCUUCUUCCCUUCCCCCUCCCAACCCCACCCUUCAAACUAUAUUACUGUAUUCUUUUUACUAUAUUACUCAUACUGUAUUGAUAUUACAAUAAAAAUUCAAUAAAUAAAGACUUAGUGGUUAAGGCAAA